rnacentral:rRNA from 1 species
CCUACGGGAGGCAGCAGUGAGGAAUAUUGGUCAAUGGCCGUAAGGCUGAACCAGCCAAGCCGCGUGAAGGACGAAGGUGCCAAGCAUUGUAAACUUCUUUUGUCCAGGGACAAAAUCAGGCCCGAGACCCUGACCGAGGGUACUUGACGAAAAAGCAUCGGCUGACUCCGUGCCAGCAGCCGCGGUAAUGCGGGGGAUGCGAGCGUUAUCCGGAUUUAUUGGGUUUAAGGGGUGCGUGGGGGGGCUGUUAAGGCAGCGGCAAAAGCCAGGGGCUCAACCCCGGCAGGCCGUUGAAACUGGCUGUCUUGAGAUGUAGAGAGGUAUGCGGAAUGCGCGGUGUAGCGGUGAAAUGCGUAGAUAUUGCGAAGAACUCCGAUUGCGAAGGCAGCAUACCGGCGGCGAACUGACGCUGAGGCACGAAAGCGUGGGUAUCGAACAGGAUUAGAUACCCGGGUAGUC